CAACAUACAUCCGAGAAGUCUCAAACCUUGGUGGCAUCAGUCUACAGAGUAACUUUAUGAUAGAAGAAAAUCUAUAACUUAAGGGUUUUCAAACAGUGUCUGAGUACACUAUAAUUGGAUUUUAAAAAAAGGCAGACACAAGUAGACUAGAAAAAAUUUCAUCCCAUUACACCUGCGACGCAAUAACCAAAUUUUAAGAAACUCGUCCUUGCACGGUUGCAGUAGUGUCCCUGUAAAGAUAAUAGGUUUAGAACCAACCAAAUAGUUGCGUAUAAAGAGAAGACAGUUUCGUUGACGGUCGACCCAGUUGGUAAAAGUGAACGAACUAGAUAGCCUAGCACGCUCUCUAUAUUUUAAAAAGAUUGUCGUAAAAUUGAUUUACUGAUCCGUAAAGAAUGUCUGUACAAAUUUCAAGUAAUGCGGUGUCAGUUUAUUGGCAGAAUCAAACUGAAAGUUUAAGUGAGCUGUUAAAAAAAUUCUUACGUAACAUUCGCUGUGCAAGCCGUCGUUAUCGUGUUCAUAACGAAUACGAUCGACUCAACGAUCCAAUCAUUUCUAAAGCAUACUCAACAAUGUUGACAGCCGAGAAUCGGUGCUCUGGUGAACCGAAACGCCGUUUCUUGAGAUGAAAUCUCAAUCUUCUUGGACUUGAACUCCACAAUCGCAUUAUUCCAACUGAAAGUUAAGAAAAAGACCGUUUAGAAGUUCGGUUCUACUCAGGAAAGAAGCGGUUACCCAUACGUUCUAUAUGCUGGCGCCUCCUACUGGUGGACAUUAUCGGUGCUUACAAGAGUUAAAUUUUUUCUCUAUGCAGCUGGAUUUUACAAUUUUCUCCUGGAAAAGUGAAAAGCGCCAUGCAUCAACUUUGGGAUUCAGCUUGUCUACAGUUUCAUGUUUUACAUUCUAUGUUCAUAUUUGUUUUAUUUUUAAUGGUUUCACUGUUACCGCACUGAGCAACAAUGAUUAUUGAUCAAUCACUGGUUUAACGGAAAGACAAUAACAAUCCAUUUUCUAUUACUGCAUUAUAUUUCCGUCUGAAGAACUUUUCUGAAGUUAAUUAAUUUUUGUAUGUAAUUAACAAGGCGCUGGAACAGCCAAUAAAAAAAAAGUUUUAUUACUUACUUUAAUUAAUAUAGCACAUGUUAUAAAACAUUCUUGAUUUCGUAAAUAUAUUCUUCGAUUAUCUCCAGCA